UGGGAGAGAAAAGCAUACGACAUAAACAGGGAGGUCAAGCUCCACCACGCAGAUGAGGUGCAGGCCACCAGGCUUCCUCUGCCACAUCUCUUUCUGAAAAGGACUUCACAUUCACCCUUGCAAUCCAUGUGGGGACACUGUUGGAUAGGAGGCGUGGUCCCAGUGUGGUCUCCCUGUCUGGGCCUCUGCCUAUGCCAAAUGUUUGCCUUACGCUGCACACUCAAGAGGUUCCAUGUAUACAGAUGGGAAUUCCAGAGCUACAGAAAAGGCAGCAAGCACCAUGAUUCAAGCUAAUCGGUGUGGAUUCACACCUUCCUCUCUCUCUGUCAGUGGCAGAACUACCAGCUAGAGUAAGAAGUGGUUGAUCCAGGACCUAAACAUUCUGGAAACUCUUGCCCACUUCUGGGAGAAAUGACCCAAUCCGUAGUACUAAGCACACCUUAACUUUCGUAGGACGCAGGCAAGUUGUCAUACCGUGUGCCUAAAUAUAGAAAAAUGAUCGACUGGACUAAUAAAGUGUUAAAU
rnacentral:lncRNA from 1 species